AGAAAAGGCCGGCCAACAAUGGAACUUGUUAUAGGGACAGACCCACCUCUUCUUUCCCCGUAGCAGUGUAUAUACUUCAGUGGCCAGCAUGUGCAAACAUCUCCACUGUCUAGUUCCGAACAUUUUUGUCACCCCCAAAAGGAAAUCAUUAGUGGUCAUUCCCACUUCUCCCCUGUCUACUUUUGUCUCAACUAAUGUGCUCUGCACAUUGGACAUAGGUGGGAUCGUCCACUUUGGGCUUUUGUGACUCUGUGCAGUCCUGCUUUUAAUGGCAGUGCUUUAUUAAGAGGCCCUGAGACCAGCAGAGAAUGGGACUCUGUAUCUUCAUGCACAAAGCUUGUUGCCUGAGACCUACAAGGAUCCCGUGGGGGUGUGACGGUGUGGUGCUGGUUCAGCCAGGGCCGUGAGUCCUGACCCUGCUUCUCUGUACAAGUGGAACCAUGAUGCGAAGUGUAAUGGUAUGGGUUUCUAUGUUUGUUAUUGCCCUGCAGGGAGAGGGAGGGUAGGUUCUCUGUCCUACCCAGAAAGCUUUUGGUUUACAAUUCUGUACAGACACCUGCCUUUCUUUUUACUUUUUAUGUGCUUAGAGAAGUCAGGCUGCUACUCUGCCCGAGUUGCCAGAAUUCAGCCUUAGAGGUCAGGUACAAACCAAGGUCCUUUAGUGUUGAGUGUGGUUUAGUUUUUGUUCUCUUUCUGUAGGGGGUUGAACGCAGGACCUUGUGGGUACCACCACUGAGCUAAUACACAACCCCUUUUAGUUUGAAAUGAUAUUCUGUGGUCAGGCAUGGUGAACACACAACUACAGUUCUAGCACUUAGAAAGUGGAGCCUGAAACAGCAGGAGUUCAAGGUUAUGCUUAGGUUGUAUGUGCGUGCAUGUGCACACACACACACACACACACACACACACACACACACAGAGGAAGAAGGGAGAGGCUAUAGAGGUGAUAGAUUUCCCAAGGUUACACAGAGGCCGGAGGGCAGUUUUGCCCUGCAGCCCUCAGUUACUCCACCUUUGCCACAUUAGUGCUAAUCUCAUAGACUGUAAGUAUGUCUAGAGUUUAUCACGAUGGCAUCUGUAUUUAGAAGUUUUGAAAUCUCACAUCCACCUUGGGGACAUGUUAUUUUUGUUUUCCUAAUGCUCUCCAGCCCAGUUUAAACUCAUGGCACCAGAAUAAAGAAUUUUAUUUUCUCUGAGCAUGAUGACAUAUGCCUUUCAUCCCAGCACUGUAAAGGUGGAGCCAUCCUGGUCUACAUAGUGGAUUCUAGCCCAGCCAGGAUGAGACCUGCUCUUAAAAACAAACAGGACUUUUUUUUUUCCCCUGAAAAUAUUUAUUUUUAUUAUUUUAGAUUGUGUGUCUGUGCGGGGCUAUGUGAACAUGGUGUGGGUGCUGGAAGAGGCCAGGGGUGCUGGACCACCUGAAGCUGAAGUUACAGGCGCUUGUGAGCCACCUGAGGGUGUCCCAUAUGGAACUCUGGUCCUCUGCAAGAGCAGUAAUAGCUCAUAACUGCUGAGCCAUCUCUCCAGCCCCAAGAACUUGACUCUUACACAGAUGCUGGGUAUUUGGUUAAGGCCUUCACUGAUACAGCUCAUUCAAUGUUCAGAAUGGUCCUGCUAUGUAAACGUGAUGGCAGCUCCCACUCUUACAGACAGGAGGCAGAAGUAACAGCAGCCUCAUCGAGGCUUUGAUCAGUUUGUGGGAACUGGUUUAAAGCCCAAGGAGCCUGGUCUCUGGUCUGGAUUUCAGUUAGAUGCGCGUCCCACAUGGCCUUUUGUGUGUCCUGUAGAUUCUUGCCGUAACCUUAUGUAGUGAAGAAAAUCUGGUGUUAACGUUUCCUUUUAUUAAAUCAGCUCUGAGCCCGUUAGCUUUGUGCAGGACCUCUCAGAUAAGGUCCCCCCACCCCCUUCCCGGUACACUGGAGGCAUUUGCUGAGUUUUGUGAACAUGAGCUGGAAGUGGUAUUAUUUUUUCUCUGUUUCCUAUCAUGUAGCUUUAACUUACCACCCCGGUCCCCACACUGUGCAUGUGCCGCGCUGUUGACACACAUCCCAGCCCCUGGCUCCUAGAGAGCAGUCUUAACGAGUAACUCGCUGGUCUAGAACUUAUCCCCCUGCCUCGGUUCUCCUGUCCAGAGAUUUUAGGCAUGUCCCAUCACACUUGGCUGAAGUUAAACCACACUUGUCAUAGAGGUUAUAGUUAUAAAGCCUUUGGUUUUGUUGACAAUGGUUGUCCCUGUGCUUUGAAGAUAGAUUCUUCACUUUAGGUGACUUGUUUCUGAGUGGCACAUGAACCAUGUGCCCAAGUGUAUUGGGUGUGAGACUUCAGAGGCCUGCUAAUGUAGAGUAAAUAAUUACAAGGUGUGUUACUCCUGGGCAAAGAGCCCAACUUAAAAAGAAUUAUAUAUAUAUUUGUAUUUAGUGAGGGUGUGGAGAGAACAAAUGAACAUGUGUAGAGAUCAGAGGGCAUUUCUGUCAUCUGUUUGCUCCUUAGACUUCAUUGCUUUGUUUAAAGUAUAUUUUUGUUGUUUUAAAUUGUGCACGCAUGCACACAUGCAUGCGUGUGCAUAUGAGAGCGUAUGUGUGUGAGGGCAAGGGCCUGAGGAUUCUAGAGGUGUCACCUGAUGUGCGUGCUGGGCACCAAAUCCAAGUCCUCUAUAAGAGCAGAAAGCUCUUAGCCACACCGUCUCUCCAGCCCACUCUCCUCAGGCCUGGUUUUGUGGCAGAGUUUCUCUUGUUUCAGACAGGGUGUUGUGUGUGAGUGUCUGGCUGAUGGGACUGCAGUCUUCUGGUAGGGGUGAUGGGGUUGGGAUUAAAGACAUGAGCACUCUGUUUCACAUGUGGCCUCAGAGGAUGGAACUCAAGCUGUCCGGCUUCAGUAGCUGAGCCAUCUUGCUGGGCCCCAGCCUAUGUUUAUAAAACUCAAUGGUAUUGUGUGUAAAGAUUCACAGAAGCAGGCCAGGCAUGGUGGUGCACACCUUUAGUCCCAGUACUAGGGAGGCAGAGGCAGAUGGAUCUCUGUGAAUUCGAGGCCAGUCUGGUCUACAAAUGGAGUCCAGGACAGCCAGAGCUCUGCUACAUAGAGAAACCUUAUCUUGAAAAACAAAACAAAACAAG
rnacentral:lncRNA from 1 species